AGACGGGUGAGUAACUACGUAUCCAACCGUUUCCCUUACCCGGGUACUAGCCUCGGGAAACUGAGAGUAAUCCCCGAUGUGGUAGCACGAAUAGCAGUUUUUUGCGCACGAAAGAUUCGAUCGGUAAGGGUGGGAUGCGCUCCAUUAGCUUGUAGGUGGGUAACGGCCCACCUAGGCGAUGAUGGAUAGGGGUUCUGAGACGGAAGGUCCCCCACACUGGAACUGCGACACGGUCCAGACUCCUACGGGAGGCAGCAGUGAGGAAUAUUGGUCAAUGGCCGGAAGGCUGAACCAGCCAAGUAGCGUGCAGGAUGACGGCCCUAUGGGUUGUAAACUGCUUUUUAUGCGGGAAUAACGGUCUCCACGCGUGGAGGUGUGCAUGUACCGCAUGAAUAAGGAUCGGCUAACUCCGUGCC
rnacentral:rRNA from 1 species